UCGAGGGGUAUUUAUCUUCGGAUAGAGAGACCGGCGCACGGGUGCGUAACGCGUAUGCAAUCUACCUUUUACAAAGGGAUAGCCCAGAGAAAUUUGGAUUAAUACCUUAUAGUAUAGUAUAAUCGCAUGAUUUAACUAUUAAAGAUUUAUCGGUAAAAGAUGAGCAUGCGUCCCAUUAGCUAGUUGGUAUGGUAACGGCAUACCAAGGCUUCGAUGGGUAGGGGUCCUGAGAGGGAGAUCCCCCACACUGGUACUGAGACACGGACCAGACUCCUACGGGAGGCAGCAGUGAGGAAUAUUGGUCAAUGGACGCAAGUCUGAACCAGCCAUGCCGCGUGCAGGAUGACGGUCCUAUGGAUUGUAAACUGCUUUUAUACAGGAAGAAACAGUUCUACGUGUAGAACCUUGACGGUACUGUAAGAAUAAGGAUCGGCUAACUCCGUGCCAGCAGCCGCGGUAAUACGGAGGAUCCAAGCGUUAUCCGGAAUCAUUGGGUUUAAAGGGUCCGUAGGCGGUUUGGUAAGUCAGUGGUGAAAGCCCAUCGCUCAACGGUGGAACGGCCAUUGAUACUGCUAGACUUGAAUUAUUAGGAAGUAACUAGAAUAUGUAGUGUAGCGGUGAAAUGCUUAGAGAUUACAUGGAAUACCAAUUGCGAAGGCAGGUUACUACUAAUGGAUUGACGCUGAUGGACGAAAGCGUGGGUAGCGAACAGGAUUAGAUACCCUGGUAGUCCACGCCGUAAACGAUGGAUACUAGCUGUUGGGAGCAAUCUCAGUGGCUAAGCGAAAGUGAUAAGUAUCCCACCUGGGGAGUACGAACGC
rnacentral:rRNA from 1 species